rnacentral:rRNA from 1 species
GCUUACGGCCAUACCACCCUGAGCAAGCCCGAUCUCGGAAGCUAAGCAGGGUCGGGCCUGGUUAGUAAGUACUUGGAUGGGAGACCGCCUGGGAAUACCAGGUGCUGUAAGCU